rnacentral:rRNA from 1 species
ACGGCGAGUGAAGCGGCAACAGCUCAAAUUUGAAAUCUGGCCGUCAGGUCCGAGUUGUAAUUUGUAGAGGAUGUUUUGGGCACCGCAGCCGGAUAAAUUUCUUGGAACAGAAUGUCACAGAGGGUGAGAGUCCCGUCUUGACCGGCUGUAGGACCUGUGUAAAACUCCUUCGACGAGUCGACUUGUUUGGGAAUGCAGGUCAAAAUGGGUGGUAAAUUUCAUCUAAAGCUAAAUAUGGGCCAGAGACCGAUAGCGCACAAGUAGAGUGAUCGAAAGAUGAAAAGCACUUUGAAAAGAGAGUUAAACAGUAUGUGAAAUUGUUGAAAGGGAAGCGCAGGCAACCAGACUCGAGCGCGGGGUUCCCCCUUCCUUUUGGUUGGGCUACUUCCCCGUGACCGGGCCAUCAUCAGUUUUGGGGGCGGGUUAAAGGCCUUGGGAAUGUAUCUACCCCUCCGGGGGUAGACUUAUAGCCCUCGGUGUCAUGCCGCCUCCCGGGACUGAGGAACGCGCUUCGGCGAGGAUGAUGGCGUAAUGGUUGUCUGCGGCCCGUCUUGAAACACGGACCAAGGAGUCUAACAUCUAUGCGAGUGUUCGGGUGUCAAACCCUUGCGCGGAAUGAAAGUGAACGGGGUAGGAAGGCCUGAGCCUGCACUAUCGACCGAUCCUGAUGUCUUCGGAUGGAUUUGAGUAAGAGCAUAGCUGUUGGGACCCGAAAGAUGGUGAACUAUGCGUGAAUAGGGUGAAGCCAGAGGAAACUCUGGUGGAGGCUCGCAGCGGUUCUGACGUGCAAAUCGAUCGUCAAAUUUGCGUAUAGGGGCGAAAGAC